UGGGUUGGGGCUCGGCGGCAGAGUGCUCGCCUGGCACGUGCGAGACGCUGGGUUCGAUCCUCAGCACCACAU
rnacentral:tRNA from 1 species